AGAUGGAUGAACAUUGACAAUAAUUGCAUAUUGUCUAUGACUCUAUCUCUGUUUCUCUAUUUCUCUCCAAUAUUUAGAUGUUGCAAUAAUAAUUGCAGACAGUCGGUUGCCAUUGAAUGAAAUUAUCGUCAGUGGAGAUUUAUUCG
ensembl:ncRNA ZK381.43 ncRNA